rnacentral:rRNA from 1 species
UGAGUAACACGUAGGUAAUGUACCUUUGGGUGGGGAAUAACUUAGGGAAACUUAAGCUAAUACCGCAUAAUGCAGCGGCUCCAUAUGGAGACAGUUGUUAAAGAUUUAUCGCCUAAAGAGCAGCCUGCGGCAGAUUAGCUAGUUGGUAAGGUAACGGCUUACCAAGGCUACGAUCUGUAUCCGACCUGAGAGGGUGGUCGGACACACUGACACUGAAACACGGGCCAG